UACAGAGGUGCCAAGCGUUAGGCGGAAUCACUGGGCUUAAAGCGCGUGUAGGUGGGCCGUUAAGUGUCCGCGUGAAAUCCCACGGCUCAACCGUGGAACUGCCGGGCAUACUGGCGAUCUUGAGGCAUUCAGGGGCGAGUGGAACAAAUGGUGGAGCGGUGAAAUGCGUAGAUAUCGGAAAGAACACCAGCGGCGAAAGCGCUCUGCUGGGCCGACACUGACACUGAGAGACGAAAGCUAGGGGAGCGAAUGGG
rnacentral:rRNA from 1 species